UACAGAGGUCCCAAGCGUUGUUCGGAUUCACUGGGCGUAAAGGGUGCGUAGGCGGUCGGGUAAGUCUGAUGUGAAAUCUCACAGCUUAACUGUGAAACUGCAUUGGAUACUAUCCGGCUAGAGGAAUGGAGGGGAGACUGGAAUACUGGGUGUAGCAGUGAAAUGCGUAGAUAUCAAGUGGAACACCAGUGGCGAAGGCGAGUCUCUGGACAUUUCCUGACGCUGAGGCACGAAAGCCAGGGGAGCAAACGGG
rnacentral:rRNA from 1 species